rnacentral:rRNA from 1 species
AUUGAACGCUGGCGGCAGGCUUAACACAUGCAAGUCGAGCGGAGAGGAGGUGCUCGCACCUUAUCUUAGCGGCGGACGGGUGAGUAAUGCUUAGGAAUCUGCCUAUUAGUGGGGGACAACAUUCCGAAAGGAAUGCUAAUACCGCAUACGUCCUACGGGAGAAAGCAGGGGAUCUUCGGACCUUGCGCUAAUAGAUGAGCCUAAGUCGGAUUAGCUAGUUGGUGGGGUAAAGGCCUACCAAGGCGACGAUCUGUAGCGGGUCUGAGAGGAUGAUCCGCCACACUGGGACUGAGACACGGCCCAGACUCCUACGGGAGGCAGCAGUGGGGAAUAAUGGACAAUGGGGGGAACCCUGAUCCAGCCAUGCCGCGUGUGUGAAGAAGGCCUUAUGGUUGUAAAGCACUUUAAGCGAGGAGGAGGCUACUGAGACUAAUACUCUUGGAUAGUGGACGUUACUCGCAGAAUAAGCACCGGCUAACUCUGUGCCAGCCGCCGCGGUAAAAC